rnacentral:rRNA from 1 species
AACGAACGCUGGCGGCAGGCUUAACACAUGCAAGUCGAACGCAUCCUUCGGGGUGAGUGGCAGACGGGUGAGUAACGCGUGGGAACGUGCCCCUCAGUUCGGGAUAACCCAGGGAAACUUGGGCUAAUACCGGAUACGUGCGAGAGCAGAAAGAUUUAUCGCUGAAGGAUCGGCCCGCGUCUGAUUAGCUGGUUGGUGGGGUAAUGGCCCACCAAGGCGACGAUCAGUAGCUGGUCUGAGAGGAUGAUCAGCCACAUUGGGACUGAGACACGGCCCAAACUCCUACGGGAGGCAGCAGUGGGGAGUAUUGGACAAUGGGCGCAAGCCUGAUCCAGCCAUGCCGCGUGAGUGAUGAAGGCCUUAGGGUUGUAAAGCUCUUUCGUCCGGGACGAUAAUGACGGUACCGGAAGAAGAAGCCCCGGCUAACUUCGUGCCAGCCGCCGCCGUAAUAC